AGACCAGUACAGGCCCCGCCCACUGGUCAAGUCGCCUUUAAGGCUGAAGUAUAACAACCUUCCCAACCGCUUUGGUGUCAAUCUUCAGUUUAGUCUAUCUUUCUGAUUAUUUAUAAUCGAUCACUAACGUAAAGAUCAGCCUCCAGAAUGGCGCAGAAGAUCAAGGCUGGAUCUGUUGUGGAGCUGCAGGGAGACGAGAUGACCAGAGUGAUCUGGGAGCUGAUUAAAGAGAAGCUUAUCUUUCCUUACCUGGAGUUAGACCUGCACAGCUAUGACCUGGGCAUUGAGAACCGUGAUGCCACUGAUGACCAGGUGACAGUGGAGGCUGCUGAGGCGGUGCAUCGCUACAACGUGGGCAUCAAGUGUGCCACCAUCACGCCUGAUGAGAAGCGUGUGGAGGAGUUCAAUCUCAAGCAGAUGUGGCGCUCCCCCAACGGAACCAUCCGGAACAUCCUGGGCGGCACCGUGUUCCGCGAAGCUAUCAUAUGCAAGAACAUCCCGCGCCUGGUGCCCGGCUGGACAAAACCCAUCAUCAUUGGCAGACACGCCCACGGAGACCAGUACAAAGCCACAGACUUCGUUGUUCCUGGACCUGGAAGACUAGAGAUGUCCUACACACCCAAGGAUGGAGGGAAGCCUCUCAACUUUGUCGUCUAUGACUUUGAAGACGCUGGUGGCGUGGCUCUGGGCAUGUACAACACGGACAAGUCCAUCCGCGAUUUUGCUCACAGCUCCUUCCAGAUGGCUCUGUCCAAAGGCUGGCCUCUCUACCUCAGCACCAAGAACACUAUCCUUAAGAAAUACGAUGGUCGCUUCAAAGACAUCUUUCAGGAGAUCUAUGAGAAGGAAUACAAGUCUCAGUUCGAGGCUAAGGGGAUCUUGUAUGAGCACAGACUGAUUGAUGACAUGGUGGCCCAGGCCAUGAAGUCUGAAGGAGGAUUUAUCUGGGCCUGUAAGAACUACGACGGAGACGUGCAGUCUGAUGCUGUGGCUCAGGGUUACGGCUCUCUGGGCAUGAUGACCAGCGUGCUGGUGUGUCCUGAUGGGCGCACAGUGGAGGCUGAAGCCGCUCACGGGACAGUCACACGUCACUAUCGCCAGCACCAGCAGGGCAAAGAGACAUCCACCAACCCUAUCGCCUCCAUCUUUGCCUGGACGCGAGGGCUGCUGCAUCGGGCCACUCUAGAUAAGAAUGCUGAGCUAAAGGUCUUUGCUCAGGCCCUGGAAGCCGUCUGCAUUGAGACCAUCGAGGCCGGAUUCAUGACCAAAGAUCUGGCCAUCUGCAUCAAGGGCAUGACCAAAAUCGGACAGCGCUCUCCUGCAAGCGUGUUAAGCUGUGACAUUACAUGAGCAGCAGUUAGAAAUGAUCUGGUGACUUCCUGGGCUAGGUGUGUUUCUAUCAUGUGGUAGUGGACUUGAGUAGCAGAUGAGAACUGGAUAUAAAUGGAAGUAAAAUAAGGCGUGAAACAUGACUGUGCUUGCACUAUCACUGCAGUGUGCAGCGCUCAGACUACCUGAACACCUUCGAGUUCCUGGACAAGCUGGCGGAGAAUCUGAAGAUCAAGCUGAUGAGCCAACCCAAACUCUGAAGCCGUCCUUUCUACUCAACACACCCAUGCUGCAUACACUCAGAUUCACAGGAACAGAGGACUGACACACUCACAUUUCAACCCCUUGUCCAGUGCCAAUCCACAGGCAAGGUCAACCUCCUCUCUUGGUCUGCGCAAAGACACACAGGACCAUACCGCUACUACCAGAAGGGGGCACUUUCGGGUGGAGGAAAAGAAAGUGCCAUUUUAAAGGGUUAACGAUGGCGUACACACAUACAGCCCUAACUAUUUUCACUGUUUUAGCUCCAGUGAGGAUUCCUGUACUUACUAUAUUAAUUUGAGUACAUUUGAAGUGCCAGGUUUAUGCUCAAUCCUAGGCAUUGUUUUAAUAUUGUAAGGUUUAUUUUGCACUAGUACCAAUAUAACAAAUUUACAUUUUUAAAGUAUGUAGGACAUGUUCUGGCCAGGCUGUGUCAGGGUUUUCGAACACUUGUUGCCUUAUAUGUGUGCAUGUGUGUAUGUGUAUGUGUGUGGUGUCUUUUCGUAAUUUAUGUCAACUUAAAAAAACCCAUCAACAGUGGAAUAGAUUCUGAGAAAAUGAUUUUCCAUCAUGUUUUAUAGGUGUUUUCAAGAGUGUGUUAUUAUUAGUCUUUGGCUAAUAAAAAAAAUGGGACCACAAAUUGUAUAUUGUCUUAUU